GCGCCUGUAGUGUAAUUGGUAGCACACCGUCCUUCCAAGUCGGUAGUGGAGUUCGAGUCUCCACAGGCGCU
rnacentral:tRNA from 1 species